CAGGCCUAAACAUGCAAGUCGAACGCUGUAGCAAUACAGAGUGGCGCACGGGUGAGUAACAUGUGGGAAUAUGCCUUUUGGUACGGAAUAGCUCCGGGAAACUGGAAUUAAUACCGUAUGGUCCCUUCGGGGUAAAGAUUUAUCGCCAAAAGAUUAGCCCGCACUGGAUUAGCUAGUUGGUGAGGUAAUGGCUCACCAAGGCGACGAUCCAUAGCUGGUCUGAGAGGAUGAUCAGCCACACUGGGACUGAGACACGGCCCAGACUCCUACGGGAGGCAGCAGUUAGGAAUAUUGGACAAUGGGCGCAAGCCUGAUCCAGCCAUGCCGCGU
rnacentral:rRNA from 1 species